UAAUCUGAUCUUACAGCAAGAUCUACAGCAGAAUAUUUCACUGAAGGCCUAAAGCUUUGUAUGGGAACUGCUGAAGCCUGAACCACUGAUUGAGCACCUGGGGAAAGAAUCCAGGGAGCACAGGUGAAGGCAAUUCAUGUGUGGGACCAGGAGGGGUGGAUCCUGGCUGCACCUCUCUUAGCCCUCAUUUAAGGGCUGACUGCCCCUGGGGAAGGUUCUUUUCCUGGAGGUCCCUGCUUGGUGAAGCUUUCCUCUGUGGCCCUGGAAUCUUCUGGUACAGACAAACUGCUGCCAUUAAGAAGGAAGUUGAUAAAACUGAAUUAAAACAGGCUGAAAUCUCUUCCCGGCCCCCCAGCCGAGGCCGUACCAACGUGAGGGCCACCUCCAGCAUCGGCGCCAGCGCCAGCGUGCCGUGGAACAGCGGGAUGCAGUCGACGAAUAGCGAAGG